rnacentral:rRNA from 1 species
GGCUUAGAGUUUGAUCAUGGCUCAGGAUGAACGCUAGCUACAGGCUUAACACAUGCAAGUCGCGGGGCAGCAUGGUCUUAGCUUGCUAAGGCUGAUGGCGACCGGCGCACGGGUGAGUAACGCGUAUCCGACCUGCCCUCCACCCGGGGAUAGCCUUUCGAAAGAAAGAUUAAUACCCGAUGGCACACGUCUCCUGCCUGGGAGGCGUGUUAAAGGUCCCGACCGGUGGCGGAUGGGGAUGCGUUCCAUUAGUUAGUUGGCGGGGUAACGGCCCACCAAGACGACGAUGGAUAGGGGUUCUGAGAGGAAGGUCCCCCACAUUGGAACUGAGACACGGUCCAAACUCCUACGGGAGGCAGCAGUGAGGAAUAUUGGUCAAUGGCCGGAAGGCUGAACCAGCCAAGUAGCGUGAAGGACGACGGCCCUACGGGUUGUAAACUUCUUUUAUAAGGGAAUAAAGUUGCGUACGUGUACGCAUUUGCAUGUACCUUAUGAAUAAGCAUCGGCUAACUCCGUGCCAGCAGCCGCGGUAAUACGGAGGAUGCGAGCGUUAUCCGGAUUUAUUGGGUUUAAAGGGAGCGCAGACGGGAGGGUAAGUCAGCUGUGAAAGUUUGCGGCUCAACCGUAAAAUUCCAGUUGAAACUGUCUUUCUUGAGUGCGGCAGAGGCAGGCG